GAUGAACGCUGGCGGCGUGCCUAAAACAUGCAAGUCGAGCGAACAGAUGAGGCGUUUGCUCCACAGACGUUAGCGGCGGCCGGGUGAGUAACACGGGGAUAACCUACCUAUAAGACUGGGAUAACUUCGGGAAACCGGAGCUAUUACCGAAUAAUAUAUUGAACCGUAUUUUUCAAUCGUGAAAGACGGUUUUUCGGUCGCUAAUGGAUGGAUCCGCGCCGCAUUCGCUAGUUGGUAAGGUAACGGCUUACCAAGGCAACGAUGCGUAGCCGACCUGAUGGCGUGAUCGGCCACCCUGCAAGAGAGACACGGUCCAGACGCCGAGGGGAGGCGGCAGCAGGGAAUCUUGCGCAAUGGGGGAAAGCCUGACCGAGCAAAACGGAGUGAGCUGUGAAGGUCCCCGGAAGGUAGAACCCUGAAAGAAGGGAGGAAGGAAUGCGGAUGGAACUCUGUACGUGUUGACGGUACCAACUCAGAAAGCCACGGCUAACUUCGUG
rnacentral:rRNA from 1 species